AGUGAACGCUGGCGGUAGGCCUAACACAUGCAAGUCGAACGGCAGCACAGUAAUAGCUUGCUCUUACGGGUGGCGAGUGGCGGACGGGUGAGGAAUACAUCGGAAUCUACUUUUUCGUGGGGGAUAACGUAGGGAAACUUACUCUAAUACCGCAUACGACCUACGGGUGAAAGCAGUGGAUCUUCUGACCUUGCGCGAUUGAAUGAGCCGAUGUCGUAUUGGCUGUUUGGCGGGGUUAAGGCCCACCAAGGCGACGAUCAGUAGCUGGUCUGAGAGGAUGGUCAGCGACAUGGGAGCUGAGAAAAGGUCUAGAUGCCGACGGGAGGGAGCAGUGGGGAAUAUUAGACAAUGGGCGAAAGCCUGACCCAGCCAUACCGCGUGGGUGAAGAAGGCCUUCGGGUUGUAAAGCCCUUUUGUUGGGAAAGAAAAGCAGCAGGUUAAUACCCCGCUGUUCUGACGGUACCCAAAGAAUAAGCACCGGCUAACUUCGU
rnacentral:rRNA from 1 species